ACCCGCACAAGCGGUGGAUGAUGUGGUUUAAUUCGAUGCAACGCGAAAACCUUACCCACCUUUGACAUGGCAGGAAUCCCGAAGAGAUUUGGGAGUGCUCGAAAGAGAACCUGCACACAGGUGCUGCAUGGCUGUCGUCAGCUCGUGUCGUGAGAUGUUGGGUUAAGUCCCGCAACGAGCGCAACCCUUGCCAUUAGUUGCUACGAAAGGGCACUCUAAUGGGACUGCCGGUGACAAACCGGAGGAAGGUGGGGAUGACGUCAAGUCCUCAUGGCCCUUAUAGGUGGGGCUACACACGUCAUACAAUGGCCGGUACAGAGGGUAGCCAAACCCGCGAGGGGGAGCCAAUCCCACAAAGCCGGUCGUAGUCCGGAUCGCAGUCUGCAACCUCGACUGCGUGAAGUCAGAAUCGCUAGUAAUCGCGGAAUCAGCAUGUACGCGGUGAAUACGUUCCCGGGUCUU
rnacentral:rRNA from 1 species